UAGGGAAUCUUCGGCAAUGGGGGCAACCCUGACCGAGCAACGCCGCGUGAGUGAAGAAGGUUUUCGGAUCGUAAAGCUCUGUUGUAAGAGAAGAACGAGUGUGGGAGUGGAAAGUUCACACUGUGACGGUAACUUACCAGAAAGGGACGGCUAACUACGUGCCAGCAGCCGCGGUAAUACGUAGGUCCCGAGCGUUAUCCGGAUUUAUUGGGCGUAAAGCGAGCGCAGGCGGUUAGAUAAGUCUGAAGUUAAAGGCUGUGGCUUAACCAUAGUACGCUUUGGAAACUGUUUAACUUGAGUGCAGAAGGGGAGAGUGGAAUUCCAUGUGUAGCGGUGAAAUGCGUAGAUAUAUGGAGGAACACCGGUGGCGAAAGCGGCUCUCUGGUCUGUAACUGACGCUGAGGCUCGAAAGCGUGGGGAGCAAACAGGAUUAGAUACCCUGGUAGUCCACGCCGUAAACGAUGAGUGCUAGGUGUUGGGUCCUUUCCGGGACUCAGUGCCGCAGCUAACGCAUUAAGCACUCCGCCUGGGGAGUACGACCGCAAGGUUG
rnacentral:rRNA from 1 species